CUAAUACCGGAUAACAACAGAUGAUGCCUAUCAACUUAGGUUUUAAAAAGAGUUGGUUCUGCUAUAACUCUUGGAUGGACCUGCGGUGCAUUAGCUAGUUGGUAGGGUAACGGCCUACCAAGGCGAUGAUGCAUAGCCGAGUUGAGAGACUGAUCGGCCACAUUGGGACUGAGACACGGCCCAAACUCCUACGGGAGGCAGCAGAG
rnacentral:rRNA from 1 species